AGCGGGGAAGGGCGGCAUCACUACGCAUGAUUUAGCCAAAGUAGCUGAUGCUCAUGACUUUACAUGGACAGACGAGGAACUAGCCAACAUGAUUUACUGCUUUGAUAGUGAUGGAGAUGGAAAGCUAAGUCUUGAUGAUUUCUCGAAGAUUGUCCAUCAAUGCAACAUGAUGCAAGGCUCUGAAAGCUCCUGAGUGGUUGAGAAUGCCAAAUCUACCUUCUGUUCAGACCAGUAGGGAUUGAUCAAGAGUUCAUUUUUCUUCCGGGUUCUGUUUCAACAGCAAGAAAAGAGGCACCUAAGUAAGUGAGAGAUCAAACAUGAAAAUUUCUUUUUGAAUGACACAUUAAAAAGGUUAUAUAAUGUUGUCAUGGUCAAGCAGAGAAAGUCUUUUUCCACAUCUAAUUGUCUUGAAAUUAAAAUGGUCCUAAACCGCACAAUUUUAUUUUAUUUUUUUGACAAGAUUUUGCCUGUUGAAACUAAAAAGCAAAAUGUUUGUAAAAUAAUUUGUGUUUCAACCAAUGUCACAAAAUUUAGUAGUUACAAAGUGCAAAUAAGAUUUUUUUUUUUGUGAUUUAUGAUAUUUUACAAAGACUUAAGGCAUUUUUGCCAUGUACAAGUGCAGAAUGUUGUAAAAUGUUACUUUUAUAAUUCCCGAUGUCACAACAUUUUCCUAAUAUACAUACAGUAUUAAUUUUUUCCAAUCAUUUGAGGUCGCAAUGGUCUGUUAUAACUAUAAUGAAAAAUAUCAUAAAACAAAAUUAGAGAAUUUUGUGCACCAUAGAAAUCUCAUUUGAUAAUUUCCAAAAGCCCCUUCAGUUGCCCACUCUUUAAAAGAAGGCUUUCUGGAGUCACAAUUCGACCGUCAUUGACCGGAAAUGAGACACGGUUUUUUUUUAUAGAAAGUUUAGAAGAAAAGGAAGAGAAAGAAGAAAUCCACCCAAACCAAAAGGAAAAAUAAAAAGGUAAUAUAAGUCAAGAGUGGGCCCCCACUCGAUCUCGUUUGGAACGAUGGAACGGUAUCGAUAAUGUCACUUCAAGAGAGA